rnacentral:rRNA from 1 species
CGCUGUCACUCCUACGGGAGGCAGCAGUGGGGGAAUAUUGCACAAUGGGCGCAAGCCUGAUGCAGCCAUGCCGCGUGUGUGAAGAAGGCCUUCGGGUUGUAAAGCACUUUCAGUCGUGAGGAAGGUAGUGUAGUUAAUAGCUGCAUUAUUUGACGUUAGCGACAGAAGAAGCACCGGCUAACUCCGUGCCAGCAGCCGCGGUAAUACGGAGGGUGCGAGCGUUAAUCGGAAUUACUGGGCGUAAAGCGCAUGCAGGUGGUUUGUUAAGUCAGAUGUGAAAGCCCCGGGGCUCAACCUCGGAAUAGCAUUUGAAACUGGCAGACUAGAGUACUGUAGAGGGGGUAGAAUUUCAGGUGUAGCGGUGAAAUGCGUAGAGAUCUGAAGGAAUACCGGUGGCGAAGGCGGCCCCCUGGACAGAUACUGACACUCAGAUGCGAAAGCGUGGGGAGCAAACAGGAUUAGAUACCCUGGUAG